rnacentral:misc_RNA from 1 species
AGCCAUUUUCAAUUACUACCCAAAUCAUUUCCAUAAAUUGCCUCCUACUGUACCACCACCUGGUCCCCUUUGGAAUGAUACUGAUUCCAGAAUAAACCAAAGCCUCGCCAUUAAAGCACUUCAAGGUCAUGUAGAGUCCCCUCCCAAGACAUCAGAUAGAGUGAUUGUACUUCUCAACACGCAGAACACCAUUGAUGGCAAAUAUCGCUGGUCUCUUAACAAUGUAUCUCACUCCCUACCUACUACCCCAUACCUCAUAGCACUCAAGGAAAAUAUGAGUGAUGUUUUUGAUCAAACCCCACCUCCAGAAAACUACAACCCAGAUUAUGACAUUUUCAAUGUUGCGAAUAACACAAAUGCCACUUCUAGUACAUCCAUUUACAGGCUCAUAUUUAACUCCACAGUGGAUAUUAUACUUCAAAAUGCCAACACCAUGACGAAGAAUAAUAGCGAGACACAUCCUUGGCAU